AGUGAGAUCGCUAGGUCAUAUGGUAAGUGUAUACUUAACUUUAUAAGAAAUUGCCAAAUUCUUUUCUAACGCGGCUGUACCAUUUUGCAUUCCCACCAGCAAU
rnacentral:pre_miRNA from 1 species